rnacentral:tRNA from 1 species
CCCUGAGUGGUGAAAAUGGUUAACACACUUGACUGCUAACCAACAGGUUGGAGGUUCAAGUCCACCCAGAGGGA